rnacentral:rRNA from 1 species
UACGUAGGGUGCAAGCGUUAAUCGGAAUUACUGGGCGUAAAGCGUGCGCAGGCGGUUUUGUAAGUCUGUCGUGAGAUCCCCGGGCUCAACCUGGGAAUUGCGAUGGAGACUGCAAGGCUAGAAUCUGGCAGAGGGGGGUAGAAUUCCACGUGUAGCAGUGAAAUGCGUAGAGAUGUGGAGGAACACCGAUGGCGAAGGCAGCCCCCUGGGUCAAGAUUGACGCUCAUGCACGAAAGGCG